CAGUGAGGCUGCAGGGGCAUGUUCUAUACACCAAAACUGCUUCAUUAAGCUAAAGUUGUUCAGGUGACUAUAGUGUCCCUUUAAGAUCAGAGCCAAUUGUCUGCUCCAUAAACCAAGUGCAUGUCCUUUGUUUUCUUCAAUCAAUAACCAACAGACUACACUUAUUCCUACUCCUCGUUACAGACUGACCAGGAUUCGAGAACUUUCCAAGGCACCGCUCUCCUCCUCUCCCACAUUGAGAGUUAUAGGAAAUACAGUCCGAACGUGAUACAAUGUCUCUAGCAGCAGAUGAGAUUCAAUGCACAUAAAUGCAAUGUAAUAAGGAACCCACACGCCACUUAGAUAUUAAAUGGAGUUGGGUUAGGGAUAACAUUAAAAAAGGAACAAACAUGAAUUCUUGACCCUAUAGUGUUAAAGCCACCAUCUAUCCUCUUAGUCUUCCCCUAAAUACAGUGAAAAUCUUACCUGCCUUUGCCCCUGAUCUGCCUGCUUGGAUGACAUCAGAAGUGAUCUCAGCCAAUGACAAUGCUUUCCAUAGGAUUGAUUGAGAGUCAAGGAAGAAGAGCCAGCACAAGUCAAACACAGCCCUGGCCAAUCAACAUCUCCCCAUAGAGAUGAAUUCAAUCAAUGCAUCUGUACGAGGAAAGUUCAGUGUCUGCAUGCAGAGGGUGGAGACACUGAAUGUCAGUCACACUAUGCAGCACUGCCCCAGGAAGCACCUCUAGCAGCCAGCUGAGGAGUGGCCACUGGAGGUAUCCCUAGACUAAUC